rnacentral:misc_RNA from 1 species
GAAAUGCGAUAAGUAGUGUGAAUUGCAGAAUUCAGUGAAUCAUCGAAUCUUUGAACGCACAUUGCGCCCUUUGGUAUUCCAAAGGGCAUGCCUGUUCGAGCGUCAUUUGUACCCUCAAGCUUUGCUUGGUGUUGGGCGUCUUUGUGUUGGGGGGCUUUACCCCCGAUACUCGCCUUAAAAUCAUUGGCAGCCGGCCUACUGGUUCCGGAGCGCAGCACAUUUUUUGCGCUCUUGUCCCGCCGCGGUCGCGCGUCCAGCAAGCCACACCUUUUUUUUACUUUGACCUCGGAUCAGGUAGGGAUACCCGCUGAACUUAA